UGAACGCCACGACCGCACCCCUUCACCUCUCACCUAUUCCUUUACUUUCCAUCACCACCGCUGAGCGCCUCCUCGGUGGUACCUCUUCACUGUCCAUCUUCAUCAGGCUACCCCUUGAAGCCUCCAGCCCGUAAGAAACGCAAGCAUAAAGCAUCUUUCUCUCAAGCACAUCAAUCUUGUGGUGCAGCCGCUGCUCCCUCGUCCCCGAAAACCUCCUGAGCAGCACGCACGCGCGCCCACAGUAGGUGAUCUAUCUUUGCAUACGUAACCAUUCUACUGCCCUCCGCCCACCACCGCCUCCGGCGCCCCACUCGAGGUGGUGACAUCGCCCUCACCACCACCCCUACCCCUGAAACGGGAAAGCCCUAGAAGCGCCACAAGAAGCACACAGACAGGCAAGUCUCUCUUGGUCUGUUGCUGUCUGUCCCGCACUCAUGGACCUUGACGCGUUCCUCAGCAAGAACAACAAGAAGAGCUCGAAGAAGGUGGCCAAGAAGUCCGCAGAUGACGCAGCUCUUGGCGGUUUCGGGCUGGAGACGGUGCCGCGGGUGAGCACCGCCGCUGCGAAGCCCAUUACAGUGGCGAACACCGGUGGCAGCGACACCUCAGCGGCUGCUGGCACCGCGUCGCCGCUUCCAGCCCCUGAGAAGACCGUCGCAGCUCCAGUGGUUGCUGUGAACCUCAACUUCGCCGGCACCACGCGCAGUGCAAAGACGUGGGACGCGGUGAAGGCGUCACAGGACUCGAAGCGUCAGGAAGAAGUGAAGGCGGCGGCGCAGAAGGCCAAGGAGGAGGCCGAGGCAGCGGAGAGAAAAGCUUCUGCUGGUGGCGACGACGAUGAGGCGCAGUCGCCUGAGAGCUCCCCGAAGGAGACCAAGGUGGCGAAGUUUGUGGCACGCGGUCACCGCAAUGCGACCGGCGCUAUCGGCGGCGGAGAGGGCGGCGCUGCCGCCGCUGCGAGUGGCCGCUUCGCGCCGCGCACGCAGGGGCUGAGCCUGGAGAAUCUGCCGACCCUCGAGGAAACCUUCGGCAACGCACGCAAGCAGUCACAGUCGACGUCUUCGCAGUCGCAGCAGCAGCAGCAGCCCAUGCCAUUGCCCUCUCAGGAGCAGAACGGCGAGUCCGCUCCGGCGGCGACUCCGCAGCAAUCUUUCAGUUCAUCUCCGACUUCCGCCACGGCGGUGGCGGGCAGCAACAAGUACGUCCCUCCGAGCAAGAGCAGCAGUGCAAUGGAGUCCUCGACGGCUUUGCCGUCAUCGCCGAUGGCCGUGCGUGGCAGCGCUGGCGGCUCCUCUGCUGGCGCCUAUCGCCCCCCUUCCGGCAGCAGCGGUGUGUACAAGCCCCCCAGCACUGGUGCCUAUAGGCCGCCGAACGCGUCUGCUGGUGAGGCGUACAAGCCGCCGGCGCCGAGUGCUCCCAGCAGCGGUGCUGGUGCCUACAAGCCCCCUACUCCUGGCGGCGCGUCUGCCGGUGCGUACCGGCCGCCGGCCUCGACCGGUGAGGCGUACAAGCCUCCGAGCAGCGGCGGUGCUGGUGUCUACAAACCACCGAGCGCUGCUAGCAGCAAUGUUGGUGCGUUCAAGUCAUCUACAGCCGCCAGCUUCUCUGCUGACACGUACAAGCCGCCUGUGGCUGGUAGCGGCAGCAGUGCUGGUGCAUAUAAGCCACCUAGCGCCGGAGGCUCGGCCGGCGUCUACAAGCCGCCGAGCAAGCGCGAGGCGUAGCCUGUGCAGAGCCGACGUGCAUGUUGUGGAAACAAAGAGAAGCGCCCCCAUCAAUGAAGGGGCCAGCAUGCUGUUUGACGUCUAAUCGAAUCUAAAGGUGGUAAGCGUGCACAGAGGAAGGCAAUGUAAGUCGAUGCACAUGCUGGGAGGGGCUUGUGACGUGUAUGUAUCUGUGUGCAACGAGUGUUGUGCCAACGUGAAGGCUUGAUGCCUGGAUUCCCUCUUCUCUCUUUGGCGCCGCGUUGUCGUCCUUGUUUUUUUUUUUUGGGGGGGGGGAGUGGUGUCAACUGAUCAGCUGUUGUAGUUUUGUGCACCCUAUGAUUCUGGUGAGCCUGUGCACUCCCCCACACGCACAGCCCUUGCAUGCAGAUGUCCGUCUUCGCUUUUUCUUUUUGUUUUGUAUCUGCCGAGUGUACGUGCGUGUGUGUGUGUGUGUAUGCCUGUAUUCUCCUGUGUGGAUCUGUCCAAUUCUGCCUUUCCUUUCCCUGUUAUUGCUCUUGUUGCUCUUGUUUUAUGAGUGUGUGUGUGUGUGCGCGCGUGCGUGUAUGAGUGGGAGGGGAGGGGAAUGUGUUUCCUUGUUUCUUCUUUUUCGACUUCCUUGGGAGGGGUGGAGGAGAGCCUAACCGAUGUGGUGCAUCACCCCCGUCUAUCUACCUCUCUGUCCUUGGUUCGUGCUGACGCCGCUGUCGCCGUCGGUGUUGGGAUACUUUUUCUGUGUUGCAGAUGCUCCUGAGAUGUUUGUUUUUGUUUGCGCGUAGGCUUUGACCUCCGCGCGCAGUCCAUGUCGCUAUCUUCCUCCCCCCCCCUCCCCUCCCUCCUCUCUCCCUUUCUCUUGCCGUUUCCUUUCAUCCUAAACCCGCGUGUGUCGUCGAUCUAUCCUGUGUGUGCAUCGCCAGUGUGGCACGUUGCGUGUCUUUCUUUGGCUGCCCGCCGCGGACUUUGAUGUGCCCUACCCUUUCCUCAGCCCCCCACCCCACCCCACCCCUUUUCUCCCGCCCUUCUUUUUUCCCACUUGUGCUUAAUGAACUAUGACGUACUUCAAGAAGAAAGAAAGAACAACGAAAGAACGAGUGGGAAGCCAGCCCAGCACAUACAGUGGCGGAACCCCGCAUGCCAGCGGUACGCACAAGCAUACACGCACACGCAGACACAGCCAAGACGGCAGAACAGCAGCUGUAUCAGCGCCCCUCACCCUCUAAAUAUAUAUAUAUACGUUUGUAGGUCGAUGUGCGUGUGUUUGUGGUGCAUCCGCCUUCCAGCACUCAGAACCGCAUUGCAGGAGAGGGAGUGGUUCACGGAGCGUUCACGUAAGAGUCGCUUCUCGAGCGCUUCUUCGAUGUGCGUGCUUGCCACCCUCCCUGUUCCCGUCCAUGAUCUUCGUAUGUUUGGCUGCGUGUUUCGACCGUGCUCACUGUUGUCUCCUUCACCACCGAGGGUGGCCGAGACUGGACUAACCACCCGAUGUGUGCAGCUCACCGAUACAAGGCUAUCAUGCUCUACUCCCACGCUGUGGAGACGU
rnacentral:misc_RNA from 1 species